AAACUUACCUGGCAGGGGAGACACCAUGAUCAUGAAGGUGGUUCUCCCAGGGCGAGGCACGGCUAUUGCACACUCUAGGCCAGACCUGGGCAAACUACGGCCCGCGGGCCGUAUACGGCCCGGCUGACCUUUUAAUCCGGCCCACCCCCGCCGCCGCAAC